rnacentral:rRNA from 1 species
CACGUAGGGCGCAAGCGUUGUCCGGAAUUACUGGGCGUAAAGGGCUCGUAGGCGGCCAACUAAGUCAGACGUGAAAUCCCUCGGCUUAACCGGGGAACUGCGUCUGAUACUGGAUGGCUUGAAUCCGGGAGAGGGAUGCGGAAGUUCCAGGUGUAGCGGUGAAAUGCGUAGAUAUCUGGAGGAACACCGGUGGCGAAGGCGGUUCUCUGGGACGGUACUGACGCUGAGACGCGAAAGCGUGGGGAGCGAACAGG